UACGUAGGUGGCAAGCGUUAUCCGGAUUUACUGGGUGUAAAGGGCGUGUAGGCGGGACUGCAAGUCAGAUGUGAAAACCACGGGCUCAACCUGUGGCCUGCAUUUGAAACUGUAGUUCUUGAGUACUGGAGAGGCAGACGGAAUUCCUAGUGUAGCGGUGAAAUGCGUAGAUAUUAGGAGGAACACCAGUGGCGAAGGCGGUCUGCUGGACAGCAACUGACGCUGAGGCGCGAAAGCGUGGGGAGCAAACGGG
rnacentral:rRNA from 1 species